AUGAACGCUGGCGGCGUGCCUAAUACAUGCAAGUCGAGCGAACAGACGAGGAGCUUGCUCCUCUGACGUUAGCGGCGGACGGGUGAGUAACACGUGGAUAACCUAUCUAUAAGACUGGGAUAACUUCGGGAAACCGGAGCUAAUACCGGAUAAUAUAUUGAACCGCAUGGUUCAAUAGUUAAAGACGGUUUUGCUGUCACUUAUAGAUGGAUCCGCGCCGCAUUAGCUAGUUGGUAAGGUAACGGCUUACCAAGGCGACGAUGCGUAGCCGACCUGAGAGGGUGAUCGGCCACACUGGAACUGAGACACGGUCCAGACUCCUACGGGAGGCAGCAGUAGGGAAUCUUCCGCAAUGGGCGAAAGCCUGACGGAGCAACGCCGCGUGAGUGAUGAAGGUCUUCGGAUCGUAAAACUCUGUUAUUAGGGAAGAACAAAUGUGUAAGUAACUAUGCACGUCUUGACGGUACCUAAUCAGAAAGCCACGGCUAACUACGUG
rnacentral:rRNA from 1 species